rnacentral:rRNA from 1 species
GAGAGAGACAUGCGCGCAUAUCAAUAAGCGGAGGAAAAGAAACUAACAAGGAUUCCCUUAGUAACGGCGAGUGAAGCGGGAAGAGCUCAAAUUUGAAAUCUUCAAGGUUUUACCUUGACGAAUUGUAGUUUAAAGAAGUGUUUUCUGCUGAAGUUUUGGUAAAAGUUCUUUGGAAUAGGACAUCAUAGAGGGUGAGAAUCCCGUAUUUGACCAUUAUUUUCAGCUUUGUGAUACACUUUCAAAGAGUCGGAUUGUUUGGGAAUGCAGUCCAAAAUGGGUGGUAAAUUUCAUCUAAAGCUAAAUAUUGGCGAGAGACCGAUAGCGAACAAGUACCGUGAGGGAAAGACUGAAAAGAACUUUGAAAAGAGAGUUAAACAGUACGUGAAAUUGUCAAAAGGGAAGCGUUUGACACCAGUGUUGUUUUCUCGAAAAUCAAUUAAAAAUGGCUCGAUUUUGUAUUGCUUGAGACCUUAAAAGCUCACUGUACAUUUUUCGUGUCUUUUUUAAUGCACUUUUCGUUUAACAAGUCAACAUCAGUUUCUUUUGUUGUAAAAGGGUCAUUGGAAGGUGGCUUUCUUUUCGGAGGAAGUGUUUAUAGCCUUUGGCCUCUGCAAUCGGAGAGACUGAGGUCUGCAGCGUAGACUCUUCGGGGUUAGAUACAUUUGUGCUAAGUUAUAGCUUUUUAUAGACAACUUGUUGACUAUAAUUAGUCUUGUAGCUUACUCGCUUAUGCUAUUUUACCUACGCUUAGGAUGUUGAGUCGUAGAGCACGCAG